CCCCAGCCCUGAGCUAAAUCCCCAGCCCCAGAAAACUUUUAAGGAAACAGGAGAACAUAUGUAGUUCCCUCUUAUUUGAACCCCAGGAGUAGAUACCAAGACCUCCUUCCCCCUAAGUCCCAGGCAUGCACUCCAAGUGACACUUGCUCCCCUAUUGACCUUUGGCUCUGACCUUGUACUUCAGCCACCUCACCAGAGCCCUCAACCUGCAGCCUUUGAGAGGGUCUUUUCAUAACUCUUGAAAGCAGGAGCAUGCCACUGUGCUUAGAGCUUCAGGCUCCACACCGACUCGAGCCUUCUCCUGUCCUCAGCAGUUAUUUCACAUCUUAUCUCUUCCCUCCAAGCUGAGGUCACAUGGUGGUUAAAAUUACUUCCUGAAAGAGAAGGUUAUUGAUCCUGUAGUAAUGCCUGUAUUGAGUGAGGGGGGUAUAAACAUAGAUCUUUUCAUGUUUGCAGCCUAGCAGUAUUUUUUUCAUUCUUCAAAACCUUUCAGUACUGCCACACAGAAACUAGUCAAAUCAUUAGUCUUGGUGGCCCAAAGUAUAUAAUGUGGAUAAUGUCUUGCUUCGAGGCUGGGAAGGUCUUCAAGUGCAGGUUAUAGAUUACAGAGAGCUGGUCCAAUAAGGAUAUUAAUGAAUGCAGUACAACUCUUAACACUGUGGAACCUUCUUAGAGCUUGUCUGCAUUAUGAGAUUGAACGUCCAAGACAUUAAGACAUAGUACAAGGUCCUGUAGGUUACCAGGAAUGAAGAGAAAAAUCUAUAGCAGUCAUAAGAGAGUUAGGAGUUGAAAGUUCAGCAUUAUUGCCAGAUAGGAAAUCUUAGAUUAUCCUUUGAGCCUACUCAGUUCUUUAGCCUAUCAGAAAUAUUCUGAGCUGGAGUACAGCUCCGUUGGCAGAGUGCUAACCUAGCAUACCAGAGGCCCUAGGUUCAAACACUAGCAUGGCAUGAAUUGGGACGGUGGCACACAGGCCUGCAAUCCCAGCACUCCAGGGAUAGGAACAGGAGGACUCGGAGCUCCAGGUCAUCCUGCCUUAGAGGUUUCCUGACCAACCUAAGCUACUUGAGACCCUGUCUCAAAAAUGAUAACAAAAUGUUUUUUGAGUAUUUCUUUAGAAAAUGUUGCAAUCCUAUAAAGUUUACUCUGGAAUUUUUUGAGUACAGAAGAGGACAUCAGCAGGCAUUUUCUAUGGUUUUCUUUACCCUCAAUAGGUUUCUUAUCCUGAACAAAAAUCAUUUUGCUUUGCUAGGAGGAAAUGUGUGAUUUUUAAAAAGCUGGUGGGUCUUACGAUCCCUGUGUUUGUCAACAUAUCAUCACAGUAUGAGGUGUGAUUAGGGCAGGCUCAGGUGGAUUUGGAUUUGCAUUCAGUGCUUGUGAAGCUUUUAUCCAAGUGAGGUAGACUCGGCCACUCAUUAUCAAGGACAGUUUCAUAGGACUAGAAAAGGGGCUUCUUGUUUACCUCCUGUGUCACUUGAAGCAAGAAGAUUUCAGAACAGCAAAAAGUCAUUCCCGUAAUACUAGCAUUACUUCAGUGGCUGUCCCCUGUGUCCUGCUUGGGUCUGGGGCAGUCUUUCUUGGAAUGGAAAGUGAGGCCAUAUGCUACUGUAGCUUUUCUUGCUUUUUCACUUAUACUGUGUGUUCUCACUGCCACCUUCUUUUCUCUGCUAUAGAGUUGGACAGUAAAGAAAGCGUGAGUGUUUCUCAGACUAAGUGAACAUUGUGUGUGUGCACUGGGGCUGAGCAUGAUUUCAGAAGCAGUCUGUGCCAGCAGCUCUCCAGAGCCCUGGCUCCCACUGUGUCCAUUUGUCUCCUCAUUCAAUAGACUAAGUAAGCCCCAGGCUGGACCAUAGACUAGCCAUGUCACUGGCCAGUCCAGCAGCUCUCAAGACCAUCUCACAGCUUUACUUCAUUCUCAGCAGCUUUAGGGGCUGUCUCCUGCUGCAGAUGAAGCAGGGUCAAAGGACAGCCUGCUCUAUACCCCUUGACUUUCUUAAGUCAGCAAUGAACUCUCCUGCUUGCCUCAGCAGGAAAAGUCACCUUCCUGCCCCAUACCUGGGAUACCUUUUUAAAUUAUUAUUAUUAUUAUUAUUAUUAUUAUUAUUAUUAUUAUUAUUAAUUUAAAGGACUUUUUUGUUUGUUUGUUUUUUGAGACAGGAUUUCUCUUCAUAGCCCUGGCUGUUCUGGAACUGUUCUGUAGACCAGGCUGGCCUUGAACUCAAGAGUUCCACCUGCCUCUGCCCCCAGAGUCCUGGGAUUAAAAGUGCGUGCUACCACUGCCUGGCCAUACAUGUUUCUUAAAGCAAGUAAUGGUUAAGCCCAUUUCAUGUUUGAAUAAUUGUUCUUCUAGAGCAUUCUCCUAUCACUGACCCAUCUAGGAAAGCACUUGAGCUUUGAAAGGACAAGGGUAGUGAAAUUUGCAUGAGAGAGAAUCAGUUUCUUCCAGAAAGAUCCUGAGGAAGACAUUUGAUCCAAUGGAUUUGGUUGCUCAGAAGUUCAACAAACAAGUGGAGUGGCAUCCCCUGGCUCCUCCUAGGAGAUUAUACAUAUAUAAAGACGGCUCCUAAGACAACAUGUAACAUAACCUACAGAAAUACCACUCUUAGGGCAUCCCUUUAAAAAAUGUUAAUCCACUUUAUAAACCAGUAAUUCCUAGACUUUGUUGAGGUUUGGUUUUGUUUUGUUGGUUUUAAGUUUUAUAACAUUCUGUUCUCUUGGAAAUGUACUAUAUGUGUUAUAUGUAUAUAUAAGUUAUAGUGACUUGAACUCUGUUUGGCAUAGGUUGAGAACUAUUGCUGGUAGCAUUGAGUGUGUAGCACAGCCGCUGACUGUCACCAUCUGAGAGCAGGGUACAGAAAGGAGUUUGGUUUCCUCAGCAGUUAAUGCCCAGGUGCUUGAGCAUCAGCCCAGCCAGCCUCGAUGAGUGCAGCCACCCAAGGAGAGGACGAGAGAACUUUGACCCCCUGUUUCAGCACACAGUUUUAAUUUUGUACUCUGUCAUUUUUUUUAUCAAAUGCCCUCACUAUUCCCUAAAAAGUCUUGGAACUGAAAACCAGACUGAACUUUUGGUGCAGUGACAUUUCCACAGCUGUGCUUUAGGGGUUUCUAUCCUCUGCGUGUGGUGCAAGUAUUUAAAACAAAUAGCAUGGAUAUGUCAUUUCCAAACCCGCAAGGGAAAAUUACCAAUUUCCACUUUACUAACAGAUUAAAUGCUAUUGACUGAAUGCCCACCAUCCUACAGGAAAGCCACAGUGAGUGCUGAGGGUGGGCGUGGCUGGUGCUUGGACACUUCUUAGCUGUGUUAGAUCAGCUCAAGCAGCAGCGCUGUUUACCUGGGUCACACCUGGGAGGGACUUAGCUUCCAAAUCUGGUUUUUGCUUUUCAUCUCCAGGGCCUUAAUAAGAGUGUGUUAGUACACAUGACUAUUUUACAGAUAAUUCAAAAUAAUUUAUUUUUUAUUUGAAGAAAGCGGAAAUCCACCUUGAAAAAAACAAAACCCAAGAUUUUAUUUUAUUUUUAAAGCCAUAUUUUUGUGCUUUGUAGCACUUAGAUUGUUCCAUAUGUGAUCCAUAUCUGCAUUUCAUUACCUGGGUUCUAAAAAAGAUUUAUUUUUGUUCUGUGAAUAAUUUUUGACGGUUCUUGUACAUGUACAGAUAUAGAUACGUUUGAGGUCUUUUAUUGAUAUUCCUACAAAAAAUACAAAUAAACUUUAACUUUAAACA
ensembl:lncRNA